rnacentral:misc_RNA from 1 species
GAAGAACGUAGCGAAAUGCGAUACGUAAUGUGAAUUGCAGAAUUCAGUGAAUCAUCGAGUCUUUGAACGCACAUUGCGCCCCCUGGUAUUCCGGGGGGCAUGCCUGUCCGAGCGUCAUUGCUGCCCUCAAGCACGGCUUGUGUGUUGGGCCUCCGUCCUCCUCCCGGGGGACGGGCCCGAAAGGCAGCGGCGGCACCGCGUCCGGUCCUCGAGCGUAUGGGGCUUCGUCACCCGCUCUUGUAGGCCCGGCCGGCGCUUGCCGACACAUCAAUCUUUUUUCCAGGUUGACCUCGGAUCAGGUAGGGAUACCCGCUGAACUUAAGCAUAUCAAUAAGCGGAGGA